rnacentral:lncRNA from 1 species
CGCUAACACACAUCACACACUAACACACAUCACACACUAACACACAUCACACGUGCUAAAACACAUCACACAAGCACACAUCACACACACUAACACAUCACACACACGAAAACACAUCACACAAGCACACAUCACACACACUAACACAUCACACACACAAAAACACAUCACACAAGCACACAUCACACACGCUAACACACAUCACACACUAACACACAUCACACACUAACACACACACACAAAAACACAUCACACAAGCACACAUCACACACGCUAACACACAUCACACAAACACACAUCACACACACUAACACAUCACACACACAAAAACACAUCACACAAGCACACAUCACACACGCUAACACAUCACACACUAACACACACAUCACACACUAACACACAUCACACGUGCUAAAACACAUCACAAGCACACAUCACACACACUAACACAUCACACAAGCACACAUCACACACGCUAACACACAUCACACACUAACACACACAUCACACACUAACACACAUCACACGUGCUAAAACACAUCACACAAGCACACA